AUUGAACGCUGGCGGCAGGCCUAACACAUGCAAGUCGAGCGAGCGGCGGACGGGUGAGUAAUGUCUUGGAAACUGCUUUAUUGAGGGGGAUAACUUCUGGAAACGGUCGCUAAUACCGCAUACCAUUGGAUGUGCCCAUGUCGGAUUAGCUAGUAGGUGGGGUAAUGGCUCACCAAGGCGACGAUCCCUAGCUGGUCUGAGAGGAUGACCAGCCACACUGGAACUGAGACACGGUCCAGACGCCUACGGGAGGCAGCAGUGGGGAAUAUUGGACAAUGGGCGCAAGCCUGAUGCAGCCAUGCCGCGUGUGUGAAGAAGGCCUUCGGGUUGUAAAGCACUUUCAGCGGGGAAGCGUUACUCACAGAAGAAGCACCGGCUAACUCCGUGCCAGCAGCCGCGGUAAUUC
rnacentral:rRNA from 1 species